CGGAAUUACGGAGGGCCGGAGUAACUAGGGGCCGGAGUGACUGGAAAUCCUCAGGUGGUGGUUUAACUUACCAACCUUGCUACCAUGGCAACACCAACCUCUUGCACGUUCGUGGAUACCAUUUGGCGACCGAAGGUUAGUAAUGGACGCUGAUCGCAGUUUGUUAAGUAGCAACCGUUUCGUGCGAGUCCUAUAAAGGACUUACAGGACUCGCACCAAUGAAAUGCACCCCCAGAAGGACUCUUCGUUUAUUUUCUGAAUUACUGCAUAGUUAUUUCCACGUUAUUAUAAUGGUAAUUGGAUGUGUGAAGAGUAAAGCAACACUAGAUAUGAUAGCCUGCAUUAAAGCCUUUUUUCCACUUUGCUAAGGAAUUGAGUGUUGGCAAUAUUCACCGCGGCCCCAUGGAAAAACACAAGCUGCCGUGGACUGCUUCAGGUACUCCAGCUGCUCCUCUCUCACAUACCCAACGCCUGAUCUCCAUCUCUAUGGGAUGACUGACUAAUACAUGACCUCCGCACCACCUCCAUGGGCCUCUACAGAACUGACUCCUCUCCACAGCCUUGGAUAAGAAAAAGUCCAGUGUUGGACGUAGCCUCUCACUAGCCUCACAUGAACACCUUCACCAUCUACAUCUUUCAUCUGACCCACGCUGCCCUCGGUGCCACACAGUGCCUGACACUGUUGAACACUUCCUUCUGCAGCGCCCUCGCCUCCACUCACACCGUACUGUUCUCCGCACACAAGUCUUUGCUCCGGGGAUAAAUAGUUUUGACCUGUCCACCCUACUGGCGGCGGCAGGCGUCCAUCCCUCAAGACAGUCAGCUGUCAUCCGCCUCACCUGUGCCUUCCCCAAGAAGUCAGGACAGCUGCCACGCCUGUGAUGACACCACAGGCACUUCACCAGAGGGCACAUAAUUUAUGAUUGUCACACUGAUCGUCACGGCCCUUAACAACAACACUCACAUAUUACGGCCAACUCUACCCCGGUAAGCAUUAAUGUGGUUGUAUACACUUUUUGUUGGUAUUGUGAUACAUACAUUUCCUUGAAAUACAUCCCAGUACGAAACAAUAAGUCGAGUCUUUCUCAAUGAGUGAAGCCACAAUCCGCGAUCGCUAGGUUGGCUUGAUCGGAGGCGAAGGGCGGACCUAUUUUGGUUUGUAAUUUAGUUUGUAAUUUGGUUUGUAAAAGUUAAUAGUGAGCGUUUCUCACUCAACAUACAUGUGGAGAUGCGCCAAUUAUUCCUUUGUGUACAGUAUAAAAAUAAAAAAGUGAAGAUCUAAUUAGUUAAUAAAAAAAUUGAAAGUGCACGCACCUUUGUCGAGGCCAGCGGAAUCGCCACCCAGGAGACGAGUCGGAGGUUUUAGAAUACUUGAUAAAUGAGAGUCACAAUAGUAUUGCUGACAUUUUCUUUGCCUUCAUACUAACGAAUGACGAUCUUGCAUGCUGUAGAAGCAACAUCGGUCAAAAAUAACCCCAAACACGAGUUUGAGGCAGGCAAAAAAGGACGUCCAUUAUUGGCAGGAGACCUCUUGGCUUAGGAAUCGGUUAGGCACUAUUUUCCUCCUCUUUCCACGUCAGCCUCACCGAAGUAUGGCGAGGCAUGACCUGCAGUGCUGGAUGCUGAAACUGAGGUAAAAUCCCACACCUUAACAACCAAAAAAUAUGUGCAAACUUACUGAUAAUUAUCUCUAUCAAAAUGAACUUUGAACUCUGCAGGGAUUCCCUCACAUAAUGGUGAAAGGUACUGACCUGCCCUACCCCUGGGGGACUCCAGGCCUAACCCUGCACCAGCUGACCCAGCCCAGACACACACAGCCCAUGAUGAAAGUGACGUGGUGUGUCACAGGUGUUUGCCUCGCUCGGUACCUGCUUCCCAGAGUAACAUUUCAUGGCCAGGUAAUUGUACAGUGACUACUUUCACCCAACAGUUUGCCUCAGUCUUCACAGUUCUGUCCAUGACCAACAGAUUCACAUUUCUUGUAUGGCGGGAAUAAAAUGUCCAUAAAUUGUUACCGUGUCGUUGGCGGACUACCUUUGAAAACAGACCCAACAAUGGCCACCAGCUGAAGCACCAGCAUGGCAUUUUCUGUUAAACUCAGUGUGUAUCACUACACCACGCAUUAUUUAUCUUCAUUUUAACCAAAGAGUGCAUACCAUUAUGGGAAUAUAUAGAAAAAUGCAUUAGUUCUCUAGUCCAGUGUCUGUGUGAAUUGCAUGAUCACCAACCGUGAAAGGAGCGCCCUCGGGUGAGCGUCUGCUAACAUGCCGCCAGACGGGAAGCAUCUCCUGUGGAAGACUCGCCGAGGAAAGGGGAAGAGGCAGACUGAGCCAUUAGAGAUGCCGUUGCAAAGACCAUCAUCAUCCACAUCUGACCCGACACAAAGAUUGGGAGUCUUCCUGAGCCACUGGGACACCAAGGCCAUGGGUGACAGCAGAAAGCCAGCCACAAAAUAAGAAGGUUAAGCAAAGAAAUGCGUGAAGGAAGGCAGGAGAAUGACCCAAGAGGCAACUCAGAGCAUACAGUAGCUGAGAGGAAGUAACUCCCGCCAGCGUUGCCAGACGUACGAUAAUUAUUGUACAAGAACAAUAAUUUUUGCCAGUGUACGAUGUACAAUGGGACUCAUACGAUUAUACGAUAAUUUGGGAAUUCGUACGAUAUUUUUUAUGAAAUAUACAAUAAUUUGAGUGAAAAUUAAUGUUAUCAAUAUCAGGUAAUGCAAAAUUUCUUACAUAAAUUUGAACAACAAAAUAAAAACCUGAAAGUGCCAGAUGUAUUGCUUUCCUUACGAGACAAGUCUCACCAUACGGGUGAACAACAGGUCUCGUUCUUGUCUGCGACCAGUCCGUCCGCUCCCCGAGUCCCCGUCCCAUAGUCUCGUAGUCGUCAGUCAGUCGUCAGUCUCGCGCGUCGUGACGCAGGACAGGACUUUCAGUUUUCGUUAAAAAUGUCUGAAGAGAAAGGAAAGGAGAGAGAGGAGGCAUGUGGUGCAGUGCCGAAAAAAGCGAGACGGAAACAGAAAUAUAGGCCCGAGUGGGACAAACAGUUUCCGUGGGUGGGGCCUGCAAAGAAGGAUGCUUGUAAGGCCAUGUGCCUUAUUUGCAGUGUUGAAAUAACCGCCCAGCUCACAACUCUCAAGUUGCACGAAAACACUGCAAAGCACAAGAAAAUGUGUGCGCCAUCCUCAUCCAAAAUACUUAUGGAGUCAUUUACAAGUGCACGUGGUGAUAAUGAAACUAGUAAAAGUGAUUCUGUUAAGGCUGCUGAAAUAAGGCUUACUGCAUUUAUGGUGGAACACAAUAUAAGUUUCCGUGUGGCCGAUCAUCUGUGUGAAGUCCUGAAAGGUUUCUUCUCUGACUCCGCUAUUGCAAAGGAAUUGAAAAUGAAAAGAACAAAAUGUCAAAGAGUGUGUGGUAAUGUUAUGGCACACUCUCACAAACAAGAGCUCAUUAACAUCUUGAAGCAGAACAAGUUGAGCAUUCUUGUGGAUGAAUCCACAGAUAUAUCGGUCUGUCAGAAUUUAUGCAUCAUGGUAAGAGUGGUUGAAGGAAAUACUGUUGUCACCAAAUUUUUGGAUUUAGUGCCAUUAUUUAGUAGUGAUCCUAGUAAAGCUAAUGAAGGUGCUACAGCUGCCAGGUUGUUUUCAGAGAUAAUGAAAACAUUUACUGAAAAUGGUAUACGUACUUGUAAUAUCAUUGGCUUUGGUUCUGAUGGAUGCAGCACUAUGAUGGUGCCUAAUAACUCUGUGAGUAGCAGGUUAAAGGAACUUUGCCCAGGAAUCUUUAUUAUGAAAUGUGUGUGCCAUUCUGCCCAUAUAUGUGCCUCUGAAGCAUGCAAACAAUUACCUGAUGCUAUUGAACAACUAGCUCAUGAUGUCCACAACACAUUCAAGAACUCUUCAAAACGAUUGGCACAAUUUGUACAAUUUCAAGAGUUUGCUGGGGCUCAAAAGCUUAGGAUUUUAUUGCCAUGUAGAACGCGCUGGCUUUCCUACACGGCUGUUGUGAAAAGGAUGCUUGAGCAGUGGGGCCCUCUUCAGAUGUUGUUUACUGAAUUAAAUUUUCAACAGACGAAAACUUGUGGUAGCACAGUUAGAAGUGCUUAUGAACAACUGCACAAUCCAUUUACCAGGCUUUACUACUGCCUCCUUUCUUCAGUAUUACCAAAGUAUUACCAAAAAGCUGAACCUUUUAUUUCAAAGAGAAAGAGUGGUCAUAACUGAAUUGCACAGGCAAGUUUGUAAUUUAUAUAAAGAAUUGCUACUGGUGUACAUGAACCAUGAAUACAUUGUGAAAACCAUGCUUUCAAAAGUUGAUCCAAGAUAUCAACGUGAGUUCCUGAUGCUAGAGCAGGUGUAUUUGGGUGCAUCUGUCUUAAAAACAAUAACAGACAAUCCAGAAUUAAGCAAGCAAAAAAAAAAAAAAAUGAAAUGUAUGAGUUUCGCUUCCACUGCAGAUUAUUUUUGAUAGUAGCAGCAGAACAGAUCAGGAAGAUAUUUAAUUUCGGAGAUGAAAUCCCUUCAAGAAUGCAUAUGCUGGAGCCAGCCAGUGUUCUAGGCAUCCAGGGCAAAGUGCAAGAGCAAAGUUUGGUGCCCCUCGCGACACACCUUCCCCGAAUCAUUGCCCAGGAUGAUUCUACCCUCCAGCAACUGGACGAUGAGUGGAAGAGGCUUGCCGUAGAAGAUCUGCCUGAAUCCAUUACCAACAUGGCGAAAAAGUGGACAAAAGCAAUUACAACCAGCCUGAUAAAUUUUGGUGUGCCAUAAAAACUCUGGAGGAUAGUGAUGGAAACCCCAAGUUUAAGCUUGUUUCAGACUUUUCACUAGGAUGUCUUUCUUUGCCUCAUGCUAAUGCUGACUGUGAGCGCUGCUUCUCUAGUGUCAACCGUGUGAAAACAAAAGACAGAAGUAAGCUAAUAACAGAAACCGUAAGAGACAUCAUACUAGCGAAGCAGUGUGUUGCUUCCACAUCCAGCAGUGACUGUACGACCUUCAAGCCAUCAAUCAAAGUCAAUGAUAAAAAACAUGACAUCAAGCGUGCUAUAUUCCUCCAAUGAAGAGAGUGCCGGGGCUGCUGACGACGUGCCGGAUGUAUAUAUAGAAGAACAAGACCAGUAAUCUCCUACAUAGCACUUGCUGUGAGAGAGAGGGGAGACCUGUGCACCGCUGUGCUGCACUGUGCUUGGAUGUCCCUGGUUCACUCCUGAGGCUGUACCAUUCUUGCCCCUAUUGUGAGUAUGUCUCUGUGUGUGUGUGUGUGUGUGUGUGUGUGUGUGUGUGUGUGUGUGUGUGUGUGUGUGUGUGUAGUUGACAAUUACUGAAGGGUUUGUGACUUGACCCGUCCCACAAGUGACAAAGACGGCAUCACGUUGGUCAGUGCUUGCAGAAAUGGCUCUUUCUGAGACGUGGGUACAGUUUGUAAUGGCCGCCACUCUUCCCUGCUCCACAGACCAGGCCAGCAUCCAGGCCGCCGCCCUGCCUGGCACUGACGGCUGUCUGGCCUCCCCGAGGGUCCCUGCAGGACUGGACGCGGCGUGUGCUGGCGGGAGUGGUGCUGCGGUGGAGGUCAUGAGGCCGGGCAGCAGCAUGAGCGGCCGGCGGCAACAGCGGCAGCAGCAGCAGCAGCACCAGCAGCAGCAGCAGCAGCAGCAGCAGCCAGCCUCAGGUGUGGGGAGGCGCAAGCAUGGUGGCAAGAAUCACCUGGAGGCAGGCAGCUCUGUCCACAGAGGAGAGAGCAAGUUUGAGUGCCAGCAGUGUGACAAAACUUUUGUAUCCAGACAAGGCCUUAAGUACCACACCCUGACACACAGUGGUGUUAGAAAUUAUGAGUGUGGUGAGUGUGGCAGGAAAUUUACCUGUAAGUCUCACCUCACCAGACACACCCUGACACACAGUGGUGUUAGAAAUUAUGAGUGUGAUGAGUGUGGGAAGAAAUUUAUCCACAAGUGUCAGCUCACCUCACACACCCUGACACACAGUGGUGUUAGAAAUUAUGAGUGUGGUGAGUGUGGCAGGAAAUUUACCUGUAAGUCUCACCUCACCAGACACACCCUGACACACAGUGGUGUUAGAAAUUAUGAGUGUGAUGAGUGUGGGAAGAAAUUUAUCCACAAGUCUUCCCUCAACACACACACCCUGACACACAGUGGUGUUAGAAAUUAUGAGUGUGAUGAGUGUGGCAGGAAAUUUACCAUAAAGUCUCACCUCACCAGACACACCCUGACACACAGUGGUGUUAGAAAUUAUGAGUGUGAUGAGUGUUUGAGGAAAUUUACCCACAAGUCUGACCUCACCAACCACACCCUGAUACACAGUGGUGUUAGAAAUUAUGAGUGUGAUGAGUGUGGGAAGAAAUUUACCCAAAAGUCUAACCUCACCACACACACCCUGACACACAGUGGUGUUAGAAAUUAUGAAUGUGAUGAGUGUGGGAAGAAAUUUACCCACAAGUCUUCCCUCACCUCACACACCCUGACACACAGUGGUGUUAGAAAUUAUGAGUGUGAUGAGUGUGGGAAGAAAUUUACCACCAUUUCUCAUCUCAAUGAACACGCCUUCAGACACACUGGGGUGAGGGAGUUCGAGUGUGAUGUUUGUGGCAAGUGUUUCAAGACAAAGGGUGAUAUUGCCAAGCACGUGAAAAUCCACUUCUGAGGUGGUGGUGUGUGGACACAUGGGGCCACACCUGUACCUGUGGUGGUGGUGGUGGUGGUGGUGGUUGCCGUGCCUGUGAGGGAGUCAUGGCCCCAGCAGUUUUGUGUGGUGGUGGUGGUGGUGGUGGUGGUGUGGUGGUGGUGUGGGGGUCAUGGCCCCAGCAGUUUUGUGUGGUGGUGGUGGUGGUUGUGUGGGGGAGUCAUGGCCCCAGCAUUUGUUUUGUUGGCAGUGCAGGUGUGACUUUCAAUAAAUGUGUGUGUGCAGUAAACCUUUGUUUGUGUAUUCACCAGGUGUAGUAUACAGGGCCUCAGCUACAGGAAUAUAUUGUAGUGAGGCAGCCCCUCUCUCUCCUUGCCUCAAGUGUUUGUGUAUUCACCAGGUGUAGUAUACAGGGCCUCAGCUACAGGAAUAUAUUGUAGUGAGGCAGCCCCUCUCUCUCCUUGCCUCAAGUGUUGUGUUUCUGUUUCUUUUUGUCACCCUUCACACAUUAGGUUAGGUUAAGUCUGGCACCUUCUUUGCCUCUCUCUCUCUCUCUCUCUCUCUCUACAGGUGAGGGAGCACACAAGUGUAGCAGCUAACAGUUUCUGUGUAAUUGUUGUGGUGGUGACUUUCCUCCUCAUAUUCUCGUCCAGGAAGGGAAAGGCUGCCCUCGUGUUCCUCACCAUCCUGUUGUGUCACCAACUGUGUUGUCUGUGUGCUUGUUUGGUGAUGACUGGCCCUGCAUCACUGCGCCCUCGUCUUUGCUCCUUCACUGCUGCCAGCUGUGCCCGUGGUCAUGAUGACGGUGGUGAUGGUGAUGAUGAUGGCGAGCGAGACAUUCAAAGGAGGGCGUUCACGUGCGUGGUGGUGAGCAGGUGAUGAUUGGAGAGGCACAGAACGUUCAGGAUGGAGGAGGAGGAGGAGCAGGAGUCUUUGUGUAUAGGAAGGAGAGGAAUGUAAGAGGAGAAAAGAUAGAUGUAGGCAGCUCUGUCAUGAGAGAAGGCGGCAGAGUGCACAGGCCACCCUGGAAUGUCGUGAAAGGCUUGCGGUGGUCGUGGUGUGCGUGAAGGGGGAGGGUGAGAGGGCAGGCAGAGACAACACCAAGAGUUAACCAGUGUUCUCAUUCAUUCUUCCCUUUCUCAGGUAAACGCUGGGACUCCCUGCCUGCUUCUGCAUUUCCUCCUUCCAAUGACUUCAAGUCUUUCAACGAGGGGGAGGCUCAAGACAUCGUUUUAUUUAUCUAUUUUUAUUAUUCUCAUUUUAUUUGGCUCCUCUACAGGAACUGGCAUUAAGUUGGCAUUUUUAUUCAAAUUUUUUGUUGUCCUUUUCCAACAGCCCUCUUACAUAAAAGAAAAUAACUAAAUAAUAACAAGAAAAGCCAGUGUCUCUGGGUGGCAAAACCACUCGGCCUGGAGACAAUGUGCAUGGCGUGCCAGCUGUAGCAAUGGAAGGAGUAUUGAGGCAGUGAAGGAGUCCCUGGAGACAAUGUGCAUGGCGUGCCAGCUGUAGCAAUGGAAGGAGUAUUGAGGCAGUGAAGGAGUCCCUGGAGACAAUGUGCAUGGCGUGCCAGGUGUACCAAUGGAAGGAGUAUUGAGGCAGUGAAGGAGUCCCUGGAGACAAUGUGCAUGGCGUGCCAGGUGUACCAAUGGAAGGAGUAUUGAGGCAGUGAAGGAGACCCUGGAGACAAUGUGCAUGGCGUGCCAGGUGUACCAAUGGAAGGAGUAUUGAGGCAGUGAAGGAGUCCCUGGAGACAAUGUGCAUGGCGUGCCAGCUGUAGCAAUGGAAGGAGUAUUGAGGCAGUGAAGGAGUCCCUGGAGAGAAUGCAUGGCGUGCCAGCUGUAGCAAUGGAAGGAGUAUUGAGGCAGUGAAGGAGUUCCUGGAGAGAAUGCAUGGCGUGCCAGGUGUAUUGACAAUUAAUAUGAAGGAUAACGUUAAGUUUGUGUUUGCCUUUUUGUUUUUCCCAGCAGUUGUCGCUACAAAGGCUGACUCAGGAGCAAAGCGAGCCGCCUGUAGCGCCAAGCUGAAGCUCAAGAUGUCAACACGACACGUGGUAUG